GAAAACUGCUGGGAAUUCUUUCAGCCUCUCUGCCACAAACAACUACCAUUGUCCCAGGCCGAAGGCAAGCGAGAUUUCCUCCUUUUCCAGGAGCACACCCAGGGCGGGCUACCCCUAGCCAGGCCCGGAGCCACCGAAAUAGAAGAGUAGGCUAUGAAGAGACCAUGAAAUGAGGAACGAGAACUCGUUCUCAUGAAGGUACAAGCUGACUCCCGGGGCUCGCCAGGGCACCGCAGUGCGACAGGAGACCAACUGUGUCGCGUUCUUGGGGUGGAUUCUCCUGAGAACCUCCCAAGUGCGGCAGCGGCCUCCUCUGUUUCCAGUUCCCGUUUGAAGACAGGGCGGAGUCCUCCUAACUUCUGUGACCGCAUCCUCGCCUGCUGGACCUCUGCCAAUACUGGAUAUUGAUCGUGUGUAAGAUCACUGCCCUACAAGAGUUCACAAUGUUUAAGAAUUCUUGCCAGAGCUUCUCCUAAAAAAAUUUCACAGAGAAAUCGUGAAAUGUUACACCACGUGAUAUAGCACUUCUUUGUCAGAAAAUGUCUCACUGUAGCUUCUGUUUAAGGAAAGCAUCUGCACCCACCCAGUUGUGCCCAGUUUGGUCCCAGUGAACCGUGUCUUUGUAACGUGCUUCUGGGCAAUUUCCUUUCGAGCCGCUCUCCCAGAUCAUGCACCUGCGAGCCUGAUCUGCACCCUGUUUGUCAGAGAAGAUUUGAGUUUCCCUCUUACUCUGGGAGACGUUUCUGCCUCCGAGCGCCUUGUUCGCAUCUGUGACGGGUCUGCCUACAACCCGGCAACGAGCGACACCAACACGACGUGUGGGGGUUGCCCCCUUUGUUGUCCGAGAACAGCGGUGUGAUCCGCCGUCUGGGCGAGAACAGACCAGAAGCGCCCAAUCAGGGCAGCCUGGGUCAGCCGGACCCUGCCCCGCAUGCAGGUGCUGGGCAGACGGCGCCUGUCUUCCCAACACUCAGUUCUCUACGCGUGUGUCCCCCUCCGCGUCCUCGGGAACUCACUGCUCCCCAUCCUGGCUGGCUUGUAGAGAGACUAGAGGCAGGAUGUUAGGAAGCUCAAGGCCUGGCCUCGUGAGGGUCCUCGUGACGUAUGGACAGUGGAGGAAGGGACGACACGGUUCCUAAUUCCUGUGACUGCCUGCUCUCAGCCAGCCUUCCCUGCCCCGCUCUGCCCCGGGCGGGUGACCUGCCCCGUGUGAACUGCAGGCGGCACAGGCUGGAGGGUGGGGGGCAGAGAGAGGGUGGGGUCUCUCUCCCCCCUGCUCCCCAACUUCCUGCCGCCUGGCAGUGGCUUUAUCCUCUGGACUCAGCUCUUGCCGAGGGGCACUCGGGACAGCCGCCCUCUCGUGGUCCAACAUCACUGGUCCGUGCCCUCCAGUCUGGGUCCAACAGGUGGUACCGCUCCCCUUGUUGCUUAGUUUCGAGCGGUCCAGAAGCGCCAUACCCCACCCCGCCCUAUAUAUUGAGAUACAUGUUGAGAUACAGUCCGCAUGCCGUAGGGCUCGCGCGCGUGCGCCAUGCGGUGGUUAGGGCUCCAUCCGCAGACUCACGCAGCUGUCGCCACCAGCAAUCUUAGAUCGCUGUCCGCAGCCCAGGAGAAGCCCCACGCCAUCCACGGCCACCCCUGCCCCAUGCCUCUGGCCCAAGGGAAGCACUGCGCCCCUCUCCUUCUGGACGUUUCGCACGAAGGGGCUCCUCCCCCAUCUCCCCUCCCUGCGUGUUCGGUGGCCCUGCCCACGCCUGUGUAAACAGUGCCUCCAUAGAACUCUCCUCGGCUGAACCCUUAGCGGCGUGCCACCCUUUUGGCCGGGAGCCCACUGGCUUAGAGUUGCAUGCCAAUCUGGUGUGAAAAAAAGAAAGAGCAAUUGAUUUCCCAGCUCUGGGCAUCAGGUGGGUGACGCCCUUAAUAAAGAAGUGGAAGCA